UGCAUUACAUAUAAAACCUUCAGCUAUCCAUCUCCAUAUCAGCCUGUCUCUCUUAAUUUUGAAACAUUUUGGAAAUAUGCUUAAAUAUCCUUGAACAUAAGAACGAGCCACACAUGCUGCACCAAUACUAUGAAAAGUAGCAUAGAAUGAGUAAAAGAGGCUCUUGACUUUUAGAUCAUGCAAGAGCUUUGAUCUACAGGUAAACCCUUUUUUACUAACUACUAGCAGCUUUAAUCUGCCUUCUUAUCUAUAUGAUUAGUUAUUAUGUCUAAGUAUGUUUUUAGAAGAUUAAGCAAGCUCAUUCGAUAUGUAAAUGGAUAGUUUGAGGUUUUAUUUAUAAUGAU
rnacentral:pre_miRNA from 1 species